UCAAGCUACUAAGGGCAUACGGUGGAUGCCUUGGCACUAAGAGCCGAUGAAGGACGCGGUAAGCUGCGAAAAGCCACGGGGAACUGCAAGCAAGUCUUGAUCCGUGGAUGUCCGAAUGGGGAAACCCACCAUCCGUCAUGGGAUGGUAUCCUACGGGAGGGGAACCCGGUGAACUGAAACAUCUAAGUAGCCGGAGGAAGAGAAAUCAAACGAGAUGCCCACAGUAGCGGCGAGCGAAGAGGGCAGAGCCUAAACCAGUCAUCUUCGGAUGGUUGGGGUUACGGACCUGCAUCAACCGAGUCCUACCUAGUCGAAUUACCUGGAAAGGUAAGCCAGAGAGCGUAAGAGCCGCGUAGGUGAAAGGAAGGACGAGGGGGCAGGGAUCCAGAGUACCACGAAGCACGAGGAAUUUUGUGGGAAGUCGGGGGGACCACCCUCCAAGGCUAAACACUUCUUAGUGACCGAUAGCGCAUAGUACCGUGAGGGAAAGGUGAAAAGAACCGCGGGAGCGGAGUGAAAGAGAACCUGAAACCGUAUGUCUACAAGCAGUCGGAGCGCAAGCGACGGCGUGCCUAUUGAAGAAUGAGCCAACGAGUUACGGGCACCAGCGAGGUUAAGCAGGAAAUGCGGAGCCGGAGCGAAAGCGAGUCUAAACAGGGCGAAUAGUUGGUGUUCGUAGACCCGAAACUGUAGUGAUCUACCCAUGAUCAGGUUGAAGCGCAGGUAAAAAUGCGUGGAGGACCGAACCGGUGAGCGUUGAAAAGCUUUCGGAUGAAUCGUGGGUAGCGGUGAAAUUCCAAUCGAACGCAGAGAUAGCUGGUUCUCCUCGAAAUAGCUUUAGGGCUAGCCUCAAGCAGUAAGCAUAGGCGGUAGAGCACUGAUCGGGAUAGGGUCCGUAAAGGAUACCGAACCCUGUCAAACUACGAAUGGUUAUGCUGCAGAGCUUGGGAGUCAGACUACGAGAGAUAAGUCCCGUUGUCAAAAGGGAAACAGCCCAGACCGUCAGCUAAGGUCCCCAAUGCCAUACUAAGUGGAAAAGGAUGUGGGGUCUCAUAAACAACCAGGAUGUUGGCUCAGAAGCAGCCACCAUUUAAAGAGUGCGUAAUAGCUCACUGGUCGAGAGGCCCUGCGCCGAAGAUUCCCGGGGCUAAAGUAUGGAACCGAAGCUACGGAUGCGGUACUUGUACCGCGUGGUAGAGGAGCGUUCCCAUUGGGUUGAAGUCGUCCUGGAAGGGACGGUGGACUGGUGGGAAGUGAGAAUGUUGGCAUGAGUAGCGAAAAGAUAGGUGAGAAUCCUAUCCACCGAAAGCAUAAGGAUUCCUGAGCAACGAUCGUCGUCUCAGGGUAAGUCGGGACCUAAUCCGAGGCAUGGAGCGUAGGAGAUGGACAACUGGUUGAUAUUCCAGUACCGGCAGCAAUCGUUUGAACGAUGGAGUGACGCAGGAAGGCAGGUCCGCGCGAGAAUGGUAGAUCGCGUACAAGCGUGCAGGCUGGUGCACAGGCAAAUCCGUGUACUGAGGCUGAGGCGUGAUGUGGAGGGAACUUGUUCCCGAAGGGAUUGAGCCUACGCUGCCGAGAAAAGCUUCUAGUGAGAAAGCUGCCGCCCGUACCGUAAACCGACACAGGUAUGCGGGGAGAGAAUCCUAAGGUGCGCGGGAGAACCCUCGUUAAGGAACUCGGCAAAAUGUACCCGUAACUUCGGGAUAAGGGUAGCCACAGUGGUGAAGGGACUUGCUCCUGGAGCCUAGUGUGGUCGCAGAGAAGAGGCCCAAGCGACUGUUAACCAGAAACACAGGUGCCUGCGAAAGAGAAAUCUGAUGUAUAGGUGCUGACACCUGCCCAGUGCUGGAAGGUUAAAGAAGGAUGUCCGGGUUCGACCCAAAGCAUUUGACUGAAGCCCCAGUGAACGGCGGCCGUAACUAUAACGGUCCUAAGGUAGCGAAAUUCCUUGUCGGGUAAGUUCCGACCCGCACGAAAGGUGUAACGAUUUGGGCACUGUCUCAACGAGGGACCCGGUGAAAUUGAAAUACCUGUGAAGAUGCAGGUUACCCGCGACUGGACAGAAAGACCCCAUGGAGCUUUACUGUAACCUAAUAUUGGGUUCUGAUAUUCGACGCACAGGAUAGGUGGGAGGCUUGGAGCAUGGUCCUCUGGGAUCAUGGGAGCCGCCGUUGGGAUACCACCCUUCGAAUAUCGGGAUUCUAACCGCAGGAGCAACGAUCCUCGGGACAGUGUUAGGCGGGCAGUUUGACUGGGGCGGUCGCCUCCUAAAGAGUA
rnacentral:rRNA from 1 species